CUGGGAAGGGCAGGUGAUUCCCUGGGAAGAGCAGGUGAUCAUUCCCUAGGAAGAGCAGGUGAUUCCCAAGGAAGAACAGGUGAUCAUUCCCUAGGAAGAGCAGGUGAUUCCCAAGGAAGAGCAGGUGACUCCCUUGGAAAGGCAGGAGAUUCCCAAGGAAGAACAGGUGAUUCCCAAGGAAAGGCAUGUGAUCAUUCUCUGGGAAGAGCAGGUGA